rnacentral:rRNA from 2 species
UUGAAAGGGAAACGAUUGAAGUCAGUCAUACCAACGGGAAAUCAACCUUUUGAGCUUGGUUUCGUGGGUUUUGAAGAGUUUCAAAGCCUUCGGAUUCGCGAGAUUGGGAUCUCUCGGUGUACUUUUUCGUACGGUUAGUCAACAUCGGUUUUGAAUGUCAUAAAAUGACUGGAGGAAUGUAGCUUCGAUCUCGUAUUGAAGUGUUAUAGCCUUUGGUAGAUGUGAUGUUUGAGACCGAGGAUUGCAACGGAUACCCUUCAGGGCUAUUCGUCUGAUCUCUGAUACGUUGCCUUGAUGUUGAAAGCUUGCUUAUGAUGUUAGGGUAUUACGGUCAAAAGGUUAGAACGAAUUACAUUCGUUAAGGAUGUUGACGUA